UACGUAGGAUGCAAGCGUUGUCCGGAAUUAUUGGGCGUAAAGAGCUCGUAGGCGGUUUGUCGCGUCGGCUGUGAAAUCCCGAGGCUCAACCUCGGGCCUGCAGUCGAUACGGGCAAACUAGAGUGUGGUAGGGGAGACUGGAAUUCCUGGUGUAGCGGUGAAAUGCGCAGAUAUCAGGAGGAACACCGGCGGCGAAGGCGGGUCUCUGGGCCAUAACUGACGCUGAGGAGCGAAAGCGUGGGGAGCGAACAGG
rnacentral:rRNA from 1 species